GUACGGAAGGCAGCAGUGGGGAAUUUUGGACAAUGGGGGCAACCCUGAUCCAGCCAUUCCGCGUGAGUGAAGAAGGCCUUCGGGUUGUAAAGCUCUUUCGGCAGGAACGAAAAGGUGUGGGCUAAUACCCUGCAUCAAUGACGGUACCUGAAGAAGAAGCACCGGCUAACUACGUGCCAGCAGCCGCGGUAAUACGUAGGGUGCGAGCGUUAAUCGGAAUUACUGGGCGUAAAGCGUGCGCAGGCGGUUUUGUAAGACAGAUGUGAAAUCCCCGGGCUUAACCUGGGAACUGCGUUUGUGACUGCAAGACUUGAGUGCGGCAGAGGGGGGUGGAAUUCCACGUGUAGCAGUGAAAUGCGUAGAGAUGUGGAGGAACACCGAUGGCGAAGGCAGCCCCCUGGGUCGACACUGACGCUCAUGCACGAAAGCGUGGGUAGCAAACAGGAUUAGAUACCCCGGU
rnacentral:rRNA from 1 species